AGCAGUCGCCACGGUAAUACGAAGGGGGCUAGCGUUGUUCGGAUUUACUGGGCGUAAAGGGCGCGUAGGCGGGCUGAUAAGUCAGGGGUGAAAUCCCAAGGCUCAACCUUGGAACUGCCUUUGAUACUGUUUGUCUUGAGUUCGAGAGAGGUAAGUGGAACUGCGAGUGUAGAGGUGAAAUUCGUAGAUAUUCGCAAGAACACCAGUGGCGAAGGCGGCUUACUGGCUCGAAACUGACGCUGAGGCGCGAAAGCGUGGGGAGCAAACAGGAUUAGAUACCCCUGUAGUCCCUGUCUCUUAUAC
rnacentral:rRNA from 1 species